AGAGUUUGAUCAUGGCUCAGAACGAACGCUGGCGGCAGGCCUAACACAUGCAAGUCGAACGAAGCCUUCGGGCUUAGUGGCGGACGGGUUAGUAACGCGUGGGAACGCACCCUUUUCUACGGAAUAGCCUUUGGAAACGAAGAGUAAUACCGUAUACGCCCUUCGGGGGAAAGAUUUAUCGGAUAAGGAUCGGCCCGCGUUAGAUUAGAUAGUUGGUGGGGUAAUGGCCUACCAAGUCUACGAUCUAUAGCUGGUUUUAGAGGAUGAUCAGCAACACUGGGACUGAGACACGGCCCAGACUCCUACGGGAGGCAGCAGUGGGGAAUCUUAGACAAUGGGCGCAAGCCUGAUCUAGCCAUGCCGCGUGAGUGAAGAAGGCCUUAGGGUCGUAAAGCUCUUUCGCCUGUGAUGAUAAUGACAGUAGCAGGUAAAGAAACCCCGGCUAACUCCGUGCCAGCAGCCGCGGUAAUACGGAGGGGGUUAGCGUUGUUCGGAAUUACUGGGCGUAAAGCGCACGUAGGCGGAUUGGAAAGUUAGAGGUGAAAUCCCAGGGCUCAACCCUGGAACUGCCUUUAAAACUCCCAGUCUUGAGUUCGAGAGAGGUGAGUGGAAUUCCAAGUGUAGAGGUGAAAUUCGUAGAUAUUUGGAGG
rnacentral:rRNA from 1 species